rnacentral:rRNA from 1 species
CCCUUAGAUGUUCUGGGCUGCACGCGUGCUACAAUGGCGUUUCCAGCAAGUCUGCGAACCCGAGAGGGCCAGCGGAUCUUCGAAUUGGCGUCGUGAUCGGGACAGUCGAUUGCAAUUAUUUGACUCAAACGAGGAAUUCCUUGUAAUCGCGAUUCAUCAUAUCGCGCUGAAUACGUCCCUGCCCUUUGUACACACCGCCCGUCGCUCCUACCGAUUGAGCGAUCCGGUAAAUGUUUUGGUUUGGUGCCGGGGCGGCUAGCUGCCGGUCGCUACGAAAUUUUGUGAACCUUAUCGCUUAGAGGAAGGAAAAGUCGUAACA